rnacentral:rRNA from 1 species
CUGCUCCAUGAAAUUUAAAUAGCUGCAGUAUAAAUAACUGUACAAAGGUAGCAUAAUAAUUUGUUUUUUAAUUAAAAACUAGAAUGAAAGAUUUAAUGAAAUAUAAACUGUUUCUAUUAAAACUAUUAAAAUUAUUAUUUAAGUAAAAAAACUUAAAUAACAUUAAAAGACAAUAAGACCCUAUAGAAUUUUAUUAAAUCUAUUUAAAUAAAAAUUUAAAUAAUUUUAUUUAAAUAUAUUAUAAUUUUGUUGGGGUAACAUACAAAUUUAUUAAACUUUUUUAUUAAAAAACAAUAAUUUUUGAAUAAUUAAACUUAAAAUUUAACUUAAUAAAACUAAUUACCUUAGGGAUAACAGCAUAAUUUUUUUUGAAAGAUCAUAUUUAUAAAAAAGAUUAUGACCUCGAUGUUGAAUUAAGAUAAAAUAAAAAUGAAAAAAAUUUUAAAUUUAAGUCUGUUCGACUUUUAAA